rnacentral:rRNA from 1 species
UACGGGGGGGGCAAGCGUUGUUCGGAAUUACUGGGCGUAAAGGGCUCGUAGGUGGCCAACUAAGUCAGACGUGAAAUCCCUCGGCUUAACCGGGGAACUGCGUCUGAUACUGGAUGGCCUGAGUUUGGGAGAGGGAUGCGGAAUUCCAGGUGUAGCGGUGAAAUGCGUAGAUAUCUGGAGGAACACCGGUGGCGAAGGCGGCAUCCUGGACCAACACUGACACUGAGGAGCGAAAGCCAGGGGAGCAAACGGG